rnacentral:lncRNA from 1 species
AGAUUGGAUGGGAAAGAUUGUGUGAAUGUUGGAUUGUCCCGGCCCUAACUUUAGGAAAUCCAAAUCUGAUCGAUCGACUAGAAGAUUGGAAGAAAAUGAUGCUCUAAUUUCAAUUUGAUAAUGGCAAAAUUUUAACUGAUGUUGACAGAAGAUAAUGACUUUAUAUUAGAAAUUGAGUCUGAGUGUUACUAUAAACGAUUGCACAAUCGUUUAGUAUGGAACGAUCACAUUAUAUAAACAUCUCGAUACGGAGCGGCAGCAAUAAUAUUAGUUUAAUAUAAAACUAUCCCGUUGCAUAAAUAUGUCGACGGAGAACGGCGUUGCCGCUCUUUUUUUAAUAAUAUGUUGAUAGGUAUAAUAUAGAACUAUCUCAUUACAUAAACGUGUCAACAUGGAGUGUCAGGGAGGGUCGUUGCCGCUCUUAAAAAUAUUAGUUUAGUAUGUAACUAGUUAGUUGCAUAAACGUGUUGACGGAGAGCGACGUCGCCUCUUGUUUUAGAUAGUAUGUCAAUAUUAAUUUAGCAUUGAACUAUCUCGUUGCAUAAACGUGUUGACGGAGAGCGACGUCGUCUCUUUUUUUAAUAAUAUGGCGAUAUUAUUUUAGUAUGGAACUAGUCUGUUACAUAAACGUGUCGAUGAAGAGUGGGGAAACCGGUCUUUUUCUUUAAUAAUAUAUCGAUAAUAAGUGAAGUUGCCACUUAUUUUUAAUAAUAUAUCAAUAUUA